rnacentral:rRNA from 1 species
UACGGAGGGUGCAAGCGUUAAUCGGAAUUACUGGGCGUAAAGCGCGCGUAGGUGGUUAUGUAAGCGAGAUGUGAAAGCCCCGGGCUCAACCUGGGAACGGCACUUCGAACUGCAUGGCUAGAGUGUGGUAGAGGGUAGUGGAAUUUCCUGUGUAGCGGUGAAAUGCGUAGAUAUAGGAAGGAACACCAGUGGCGAAGGCGGCUACCUGGACCAACACUGACACUGAGGUGCGAAAGCGUGGGGAGCAGACAGGAUUAGAUACCCUGGUAGUCCACGCCGUAAACGAUGUCAACUAGCCGUUGGGGAUCUCGAAUCCUUAGUGGCGCAGCUAACGCACUAAGUUGACCGCCUGGGGAGUACGGCCGCAAGGUUAAAACUCAAAUGAAUUGACGGGGGCCCGCACAAGCGGUGGAGCAUGUGGUUUAAUUCGACGCAACGCGAAGAACCUUACCUGGCCUUGACAUGCAGAGAACGUUCCAGAGAUGGAUCGGUGCCUUCGGGAACUCUGACACAGGUGCUGCAUGGCUGUCGUCAGCUCGUG